CACAGAACACGACUGAUUGCUAUCAUAUAUAAAAAUGUAAUCAUGUGUAAAUAAAUAUAGAGUGUAAACAUAUAUAUUUUUUUUUUAAAUGUUCAUUGAACAUAAAUGGAAUAUUAUAUGUAAAUUUGUUUUCAUAUUUCCUUCAUGGACUGACAGCUGCAAAGGGAGGAGUGCUGCAUUGUCACCAUUCAAUUAGCUUUUUCCAUUUCCUCUCCAGCUACGCUACGUCGAUAAGUAGAAAUCAUUGAAUACAAUGAUUCGUUUACAGAUGUCUUUACAACUGACGGCCAUGCCAAGUGUUAAGUGAGCUGACUGCUAACAUUUGGCGCCUCCACGGCCCUCAGGUGGUUCAGCUGGAUCUUGGAAGACGUAAACAAAAAUGCUCAAAGGAGUGGAAGGACACCGUCGCAUCCAAAGAAAUGCCCACACUCACCGCUUUAACUCUUCUAAAGCAGAAUGUGUCCCAGGCGCUGAACUCAUGCCCCCCGUCCAUGAUGUGCUCCGACACCAACACUGACCAGAACCAGACUACUACUGGAUUGGCCUUAUUCAGACGGACGGGACAAGCAGCUUGAAGCAAGAAUAGUUCACCUGGAAGGGCCAAAGGCUCAUGACCUCAUGCAAUGAUGGCCAUUUGCCGCUGGCUCCAGGCGCGGUCUUCUCGUUUGCAGCAGCCAUUGUCUUCUCCAACAUCUGUUCUUUGUGGCCUCCACAUGCACCCUGCUGGGAGCUUUUCCUGCAACACCCUUAUCUGAUUUCCAUUUUAUACUUUCUGCAAUAAACACCCUUGUUUACCCCCAGACCAGUUACACAAUAGAACCCUUUAGUAACAUGAUCAUUGAGGGUCUUGCUGAUUAACGGACGUUUCUGUUGCUCGGAUGAAUGGCAGAGACAUGCUGUUUUGACACUGAAAUGGAUA